CAUGAGCACUUCCUAUGUUGAGUUUAUACCAAUGUCUAGCUUUUCCCGUUAAAGAGAACGGAAAGAGCUUCCAUUUAAGGGUCUCAUCAGACAUGCCUUCAAUGCGAAGGAGGUCACAGUCUUGAUAAAACUCUCUUAGGUGUGUGUAUGGGUUUUCCUCACCUUCUCCUGAGAAAGGUUGUUUUUGAAGAAAUUCUAUGUAUUCCGGGCUUAUCUCAAAACUAGAUGUCAUAAUAGGCUUUGAAGAUUUUGGUGGUUCGAGAUGUGUGCCCAUAGGUCUAUUAAACUGAUAGAUAGACAUGUUUGCCUUCAUGAUAGACCAGAGAUCAAGUAUUAGAUAAGAAGAAAGAAUAGCAGAGAUAAGGCAAAGGAUAAAAGGAAAAAAUAUAUAUUUAUUUUAUUUAUUUAUUAUUUUUUUAUUUUUUAGAAAAUGAUAAAGCUAGUUUGUAGUCAACUCAGCAACCGUUUCCCCGGCAACGGCGCCAAAAAGCUUGUUGACACUUGCUAACACCACUUGAAUACUAGGUUGUCAUCCCCAGCAUGGCACUAGAGUGUACUAUGGUAUUUAUACUCACACAGAUAAAUCCGCAAGCGCACGGAUACCGUUGUAGCUUUUACCCGGUUAAAGAUUUUAUCGUAUCCACAGGGAAAUGGUAGAACCAACUACGCUCUAACUUAACCAAGAUAGAUAGAUAGGUGUAAAUAGGAAAGAUGGUAGAAUUGAAUAAGAACAAUAUUAAAGGUAAGAUAACAAUGGGUGAUAAUAUGGGAAUAUAGUGUAGAGCAAUCUAGUAUAUGGGCGAUGGUAGGAGAGUAGAGAGGAUAACUAUGGUUUCUCUACUUCAAAGGGGUAUGUCUAUGUAUGGGACGAACCACGUGAUAAGAUUACACCACAACGGAUGCUUAUCCAUAGGCCGAUAAACCCUACCAGUCCUGCUAACAGGAGGUGGACUACAGAGGACCAAUGUAGCUGUCACCUACGUGGCCUACCACACGAUCCGGCUAGACAGGGGAUAUCCACAAGUAAUUUAGGUCCAAGCACCACGCUUACACCUAUACUACAACUCUCACCUAUAGCGUCCUAUAGAUUAAAGUACUCAAAAGAGUUGUGAACCAGAACAUACAUGGAUAGUAAUUGCAUAAUGAAAUAGAAGUAGAUUACCAGAGUCAUCCCAUGAGCAAGCUUGAGUAGAGCUUGAUCAUGGCGAAGUACAACUAGAGGAAGAACCGACAGGGCGGCCUCUCCUCCAAUCCUCCCUCGCUCUCCAUCUCGCUAUUAUCUAGAUCUACUCUAGUUUAGAGAUGAGAGGAGAGCUCUCAUCUCCAAACCCUAGCUUUUGCUCUGUCUAUGAAU
rnacentral:lncRNA from 1 species